UGAGGAAUAUUGGUCAAUGGGCGAGAGCCCGAACCAGCCAAGUAGCGUGCAGGAUGACGGCCCUAUGGGUUGUAAACUGCUUUUAUGCGGGGAUAAAGGAGUCCACGUGUGGAUUUUUGCAGGUACCGUAUGAAUAAGGACCGGCUAAUUCCGUGCCAGCAGCCGCGGUAAUACGGAAGGUCCGGGCGUUAUUCGGAUUUAUUGGGUUUAAAGGGAGCGUAGGCUGCGUUUUAAGCGGGUUGUGAAAUGUAGACGCCAAACGUCUGCAUCGCAGCGCGAACUGGGACGUUUAAUUACGUGCAUCGUUGGCGGAAUUCGUCGUGUAGCGGUGAAAUGCUUGGAUAUGACGAGGAACUCCGAUUGCGAAGGCAGCUGACGGGCGCGGCACUGACGCUGAAGUGCGAAAGCAAGGGGAGCAAACAGG
rnacentral:rRNA from 1 species